UAAGAGGUAGCUAAGAAGUAAUUUAUUGCUUGUGUUUUUAAAAGAGAAAGUUCUGAACAUUGCAAGUAAACAUUCAGCUUUAUUUCUUAGAAAUAAUUAAUAAUGCAUUAGCUGCACAUAUUUUGAUGUUGUACCCAAAUAUCUUCAAGAUUUUACAUAUUCUUGCUGUAGUGCUAGUAACGACAGGUUCUUGGGUGAGAGAUCUAUAUCAUCGUUACGACGAGUAAAGACAUAUUUAAGAAGCUCGAUGGCCCAGGAUCGAUUUAAUGGCUUGGUGUUGCUAAAUAUCCACAACAAGAUGAAAAUAAAUUUAGAUGACGUAAUCGAUAUGCUGGCAAUAAAUUAUCUAAAAAGACUUAAAAUGUUAGAUAUCCUGAACGAUGAUUAAAAGUGUAGCAGUCUUGAUAAAAAUAUAAAUCUUGUAUAUUA